rnacentral:rRNA from 1 species
AUUGAACGCUGGCGGCAGGCUUAACACAUGCAAGUCGAGCGGAGAUGAGGUGCUUGCACCUUAUCUUAGCGGCGGACGGGUGAGUAAUGCUUAGGAAUCUGCCUAUUAGUGGGGGACAACAUUCCGAAAGGAAUGCUAAUACCGCAUACGUCCUACGGGAGAAAGCAGGGGAUCUUCGGACCUUGCGCUAAUAGAUGAGCCUAAGUCGGAUUAGCUAGUUGGUGGGGUAAAGGCCUACCAAGGCGACGAUCUGUAGCGGGUCUGAGAGGAUGAUCCGCCAAACUGGGACUGAGACACGGCCCAGACUCCUACGGGAGGCAGCAGUGGGGAAUAUUGGACAAGGGGGGGAACCCUGAUCCAGCCAUGCCGCGUGUGUGAAGAAGGCCUUAUGGUUGUAAAGCACUUUAAGCGAGGAGGAGGCUACUGAGACUAAUACUCUUGGAUAGUGGACGUUACUCGCAGAAUAAGCACCGGCUAACUCUGUGCCAGCCGCCGCAGUAACAC